UCCUUAUUUUUCUUUGGCAAUUAAUAAUCCGGCUUUUUUGUUCAUAUUAUUUUUGAUAUCCAUCUUUUAGUUAAGCUGUUUGAUGUUUAUUUAUCAGAAAAAAAGAGGAUUAUCUUUGUAAAAUUCUCUUACUUCUUAUUGAUCUGUGGGUCUUCCUUCUUGUAUCCAUCCUUUCGUUUUUCCUUUCUUUUCCUUUCCUUCCCUCCUGAGAUAUGGACAAUGCUACAAGAUCAUUGAAUGAGUAUAGAGAAUAUGGAUCUUGAGUGUUUGAAUAGUGGGCCCUCCUGCUGCUCCAGGGGUCAAGAGGGAUUAAGUAUGUGAGACCACAGCAUUCAGAGGCUCGAGGGAUGGUUGUAUUAGAAUGUUUUUUGAAUAUUUUUAGAAGACAGUCUUGCAGAAAGUAUUGUGAUGGAAGCUGAUGUAUUCUCGGGAAUAAUUGUUGGAUUUUGAUUGGAUUGCAGGCUGGAUAGAGUGGGAGGGCGAAAGAUUUGAGUUCAAAGAUGAUCCUUCUUGUUCAGAAAAGAACUGGGGUGGAGCCUUCUCAAGAAAAUUGUUUUGGGUGAAAAUCCAUUUGUUUCUUCACAAGUCGCUUGUAGUCCAUAUACUUAGGUUUCAUUGUUGCUUGUUCCAUUAUAGAGAACGAACGACUUAAUCUAAUUUUCAACAUACAAAAUAUGCUACCAGGUAAAAAGGUUUUUCAAAUUAUAAUUUUGAUGCCUGAAUUUGGGAUGGCGGUGCUUUACUUGGGCCAAUAUGCAUUAUAAGAUGCAGUGACUUUUUCUGUGGUUAUUGAACCUGCUUUUUUCCUGAAUCUGAUCAGAUGGCUCACUUUUGAAUGUGCUGUAUAUCAGUGCAAAUUAUUUGUUAAGAAAUCAUUUCCUGGUAGGUCUUUUAUUGGAUAGAGCUUAUUUAAUUUUCUAGGAUGAUCCCCGAGAAAAUGAGCCGCUGAAGCAUCUGUGAGCUGUAAUUGUCUGCAUAUAUGUAGCCUGAAAAAGGAAAUAAUGGCAAAGAAAAGAAAAUCUAAUUGUCUGUAUGUUCAAUUGUUGAUGUUUUGCUGCAGCUUCAGUGUAAUGUCUUCGAAGGUACAAAAGGAGAGGUUACUUUGACAGCAGCUGGUGGAGUGAGGCAGUUGCCUGGACCAGCUGGCUCUGAGAUACAUGAAAAUGCUGCACUGAUUGGAGUACAUUCUGAUGGUAUUUUCUAUGAAUUGUGCCAUGGAACGGUGUUGUGAAUUGGGAAAUUUCUCAAUGGGGUUACUGGCACAUGUCUGCAGAGAACGAGAAACACUUGGAAAACUGUUAAAACAAUCUCUUCUUUCCUUGUGCUAGACUGCUAGUGCCAAUAGU